rnacentral:lncRNA from 1 species
AAAUUGUCGAAGAGCUCUAAUUUUAUUCUGCCAUAUAUCCAUAGCAGUGGUUCCUUUGGUUUCAGAUUGCCAUUUAUUAGCAUCAGAUCAUAGAAACCAUCUCUAAUAAGCCAACCACAUUCAAAUUUAAAUAAUGGUUGUUGUUUAUUGUGGGAAGAAGCACCUGUGUUUAAUAUCAAAGGUGUGUGAUUUGAGUUACUUCUAUCUUUGGCAUGUACUGUUGUGAGGGGAAACUUAUGUUCCCACUCUGUACAAACUAAGACCCUCAAAGGUUGGAUUAUCCCCGCUACUCGCCCAAGUGUAUUGACGACCCGACAUUUCUAUUUCUCUGAGAUCAAGAGUUAAAAUCACCAUGUUAAAUAAAUCUGGCCUUUUUGCAUCAAAGUUGUCCUUGUUUUUAUCUUGAGGAUAGCACAUUAUAUUAAAAUCCCCACUAAUUACGU